GUGUACUUUGCGGCCAAUGGAUUUUCGUUUUGAAAUGAGAAAACCAAAAUCGGGAAACGAGCUGUUUCCCGAUUACCAUAUAGAGAUAGGAAAACAAAAAUCCGAAAAUGACCCAUUUUCCGAAUUUUGUUUUGAUAAUAGAAAACGGAAAACGGUAAAACGACCAGUUAUCUGAUUUUCUUUGAUGUGCUUAAACAUUGACAUCGGGAAUUAAAAUACUGCGUGGAAAUCUUCUUUCUCAAUUUUGCGAAGAUUUUGUGUUGUGACCCGGAAGUUCCUCUCACAAGCUUAACCGUUACAUUGCAUGGAAUGGAAAUGGAGAGCUUCAUAUUGUUUCGCGGACCCAAACGGCUGACUAUGAAGCAAGAGGACAUGUCUGCAGACAAAAUUUGCAGGAUUUUUCAGGUCAGUUGCAGCAGUCUUUAUAUCACGGACGACUCCAACACGGCAAUAUUUCCAGAGCCAGCAGGCCAUUUUUCAAUAAUUAAUCUGACUAAUCGCAGUCAUUAUGAGGUCCACGGCGAUGCAGAGCACCUUCCACCCGCUGCUGGUGCCCCUGCUUUUGGGUUCAUGCGCCGACCCUCACCGGCUUCUGCUUCUGCCACAUCUUUUUCUGCGUCUGGUUUUUCCACUGAAACACCACCACCACCACCACGAGCUGGAACUCCACGAGCUAGUGGAGCUAGCUUGUUCCAGGGAAGAUCAUUCCAAAGGUCAAUCCAUCUGGCAGAAAUUGUUAAUGAGAAACUCAGUCCUUCCAGGACAGUUGUUGUGCGCUUUUUGGAAGCUGAGGCCUGCGUUGAACGAAUUUCGGCCAAAGUUCAAGAUGCCGUGGGCUCUGAUGAGCCUAUUACCUUGACGGACACCCAAGGAAACGAAAUAAUGGACUCUGAGGGCACAAGAAGUAAGUUGUAUGAUCAGAAACUUGCUUCUAAUUUGUGGUUUCUAAUAAACCUUAAUGUUGAUUUUAAAGGAGUCAUUGAUUGCAAAAAACAAAUUUACCUUGUCACAGUUGAUUAACGACAGUUCAGUGGGUAAAAUGUACAUACAAUGAACCCUUAAAGUCCAUUGACACUUCUUUCAUAUGCAAAUCUCACAAUUAGAAACCGGUAGGUAUGUAAAGCAGGAUUUGCUAAGAAGAUGUAGCUGAAAAGGUGCUGUUCUGACCCUUUGUUCAUUACAACCGCAAGCUGUAGUAUUAUGUUGUUGCUAACGUAUCCUCCCUGUUUCUAUUAUCGGUAGAUGUGAUGGUUUAGUUUAUUGGCAAUGUGGCUAACGUUAUUUCAUGUCCCUGACUGUGUUUCAUUCAAAUAAAUAACACGUGUUUGUUUACAGCCCAACCAAUGUUACAUACCCUAUUCGGAGACCGUAAGGAACCGUGUGAAAUACCCCCAAAAAGUCAAUGACCCCUUUUAAAAACAAGUGAAGUUAAUGUUUUCUGACUUCUUAGGUUCCCAGUUCUGGAAACAGAACUCAAGAAAAAUAUAUGCUGUGCCUGAAAGUGACUUUGUGGAGUUUCAGAAUGGGAGAAGAGCUAAAACAAGGUAAUACAACAUUUGAUCUGUAGGCAAAUUCAUAUAUGAACUAAAACUUCCUGAAGGAAAUACCAGUGUAAUGCAAAAGUUAAGAAAGGAAAAAGAAAGUAGAGUGGAAGAAUAAUUAUUAUUUGAACUUAAUUUGGUCUGCUUUUUUGAGUGAUGAUCAUGAAUGAAGUCAUUAUGAUUCAAUUAUAUGACAACAAUGUCUCAUAGGUUGACGCUUUUACAGAGUAAAUUAAGAUUUAUAAAAUAUUCAGAAAGAUAUUCAAACAUUUGUUCAUAUGCACCAUUUGAAAAAAAUCUUUAAUCCUUUCUUUUCUGUUCAUACAUUUAAGUCGAAGGGAUGGAGAUUCAAGCCUGCAGGAGGUCCUUGGACGUGUUGACCAGCUGAAGCAAGCCGCCGGGAGUCUCCAAGAGGUCACUAAUUCAAUCAACCAGCUGUCUCAGCUGGCCAAGUCUCAAAAGGAGGAGAUAAUGGCAAAUGUCGGUUUGCAGCCCUUAAAGGAAGCCUUUGCAUGUCUUGUGUGUAAAGCUGUAAUGGCAGAUCCCAUGUUCGCCACAUGCUGUGAAUCGAUAAUUGGAUGUCGUACCUGUGUGGAGCUGUGGUUAGUCACAUCAGACCACUGCUUGAAAUGCAGGGCAGGAGACUUUGAAAAUAAAAUACAUGAAGUGAAGGGUCUCUCUGCUGCCUUGUCACUUUUCAAGGAGAGAGAAAUUGAUUUGAUUUGAUAGAUAAUUGUUUGUUAUUGUUUGUUAUGUUUACAUUACUGGAACUACCUCAGUUUGUUUGUUGGAUGUUAUUAUGGGUACAUGACCAGAAAGAUGUUGUUUGUAAUGUUUAUAUUGUGUGUGACCGUUUUAAAAAAAAGAAAAGAAAAAAGACAACUUCCACUUUAUCAUUGUUGUAAUAAAAUGUUAUUUUUGGUAUACUGCUUCUUCAUUGACCAUUGCAGGUCACUGUGUAACAGGUCGCACAUGUCUUGAGGUGAUAUCAAUCAGAGACCUCACUGCAUUUUUAAAAGGGCCAUAGUUAUGGUUAACCACAUUUUGGAAGAGGGAUAGCAAAUCAAAGAGAGAACCAAACUCAGUUUCAGUCCAUUGUUGGGCUUCUUCAGAGGGGAAAGGAUCACUUCCAAAAAUGGAUUCUCUUUUCAAGGCUGAUCCCAUUUCCUGCUGAUACAGGUCAGCUGCAACUGCACCGACUGGCAGAAGGUCCUCAGAAAGUUUUGCAGGACACCCUUCUUUAGCCAGUUCGUUUGGUAUUCCCCUUCCUGCAAGACAGUAAAGUGAGUAGUGAGAUUAAAGGGGUUACACUUGUGGGGAGGUAAUCAUUUUGCCAAUGAUGUUUUGACUUGUUAUUUUAGUUGUCUUUCACAGCAUAUUGGAGUUGACAAUAAUGACAGCUUCAUUCAGAUGGGGGUCAUUCCUACAAAAUUCACCCAAUGUAAAUGCCCUCAAAUUAAAGAUGAAUGUCUGUGCUUUGAGCAUGUAUUCAUUUACAUUCAACUCCAAACCUGUAGAAGUCAUCUAAAAAAGCAAGAACAUGGUCAACGUCCAAAAAACUUGAUUCUAACUAAUAACAUGUUUUACUAAUUGAAUCUGCCCCUCUACAGAAAGUACUGGAUUUGCAGUGUUGCAAUUUGAGCUACACAUUUGUGAAUCCAUUUCAGAUUGAACUCUACAAUAGAACAUCAAAAUUAAUUUACACUGCUUUAUUAGCAAGUUAUGCCUGUAAUACCGCCAGUAAAAUGAAAUUAAUCAUACCUGGGAUCCUGUGUGCAUUCCAUGCCUGUACGACAUUUGUGAUGCCAAUCCUAGCCAGCUGGCAUGUCAGGUUUGACACACAAUACCUGGAUGUGUUGUCCUCCAUGUCCAGUUCCUCCUGGUCCACCAGCUGUACCAGAGCUGUCUUCAAAGGGUAGUUGACUCGAGCAUUCACCUCCGACCACAUUCUCUCUAUCACAUGGUUCUGUGCAGGUUAUAAGGAUAGUGUCAGUCUGCCUGCCCUCAUUAGAAAUACGCCUCAAUGGCAAGAAACCAGGAUUAAUUUUUAACAACACAUUUAUUUUACCCUUGUAGAAGGUGUCUGAAGGUAGGGCUGCCUUUGAGUAUUGUGUCGAUGUUCUGCCAGUUUUUCCUGGAUGAAUAAAGCCAGAUAGAAUUCUUUCCCACAGUCAACUCUGACCUGGUCCCAUAUUCCAUAGGAAAGAACAGCAGGCCUGAAGAUAAAUCACCGACAAACGUAAAAUAUACAUAAACAGCAUCAGUCUCUUAGCCAUGGCCAGCUAAAGUGACAAUUACAUUUUUUUGUCAAAAUUGGAAUGAUAUCAAUAAUAGUAAAACUGGAAAAUUAACUAAGAAACUGGAAGAGGGAAAAAGUUUUUUGUUUUUUCCAAAUUAAUUAUUUCCAUAUUACAAAUCUAGGUUUUAACCUUUUUUAAUGUACUUGUUCAAGUCUGGGUCCUCCUAAGGAGACAACUUUGGGUUCCACCUUACAAAGUCUGUGAAGUUAAUUUACCGGUACACUUCCUCAUAAAUCACGAUGUUGUUCUUUAUUGGCAUGGUGGAGUGACCGACCACCUUCUUGCUGAAACCAUCGAUAGCCAUAACAUGAGUCACUCCAAACAUAACAAGCUUCUCAUUCUGAUCUACAUGCAGCUUGUGACCCAUGUAUUCUGCAUUGUAGGGUAUGGGGUUCAGAUUCCGGGCACCCUAAAAUAUAAGAAUUCCAUUAUAAUAAAAACUCAAUAAUCUUUCAUUCGUAUGAUUAGAAUCUCAACACGUAUGUUCUAUUGAAAUGUAGAAAACACAAUGCUAUUUGACCUUACCUGCUGUCUUGCAAUGUGGUAGGGUUGAUGAAUACUUCUCAACACAUUGCCCACUCUGCCUUCAGAAGCUUUAACCCCUUUUGCGGAUAGAUAUCCAGUCAUCAUUUUUCGACCAAAAGACGAUCCAGUCUGGGGGGGUGGGGGGUGUAGGUAUGAUGUUUAGCAUACAUAAUAUAUAUACAUAUUAUAAAACAAUUGGGUUCUAUCGAGUUAUUAAGCCGUUUCUGAUUGGACGAGAGACGUUCCAUGAGUUGGAAUAUCCCAGGACAUCCCAACUCGGACUUUCACAGCUAAUAAUAAAUCACUCUGCGAUGAAACAUUCUAAAGCGCGCUGAUGAUAACUGUUAGUUCUUGUAAUUCCAAACCAAGACGUUGACUGGAACUAUUUUUUGUUGCGGAGAAACAAUGGUGAAAUUAACAUUUUUUAAAUCAAUAACUUCGUGUUGAAAUGUUAAUUGGUUGAAUAUAAAAUUGUUUUAUAAAAGCAAUAUAGUACUCGUGCGAGUGGGGUAGGUAAGGGAUAUUGUUACCUGCUGUUACCUACGGCCGAACACCACCCGUGGGAAUAUCCCUUACCUACCCCACUCGCAGCCUACUAUAUUGCUUAAAUAUAUAUAUUUAAUUAUAAAUAGUAAAUCAUCUUAGUUUAAAUUUAAGAUUAAGACGUGCAUUUUUUAAAAAUACAGAAAUAUUUCCUGUUGAUUAACAACCAACGUGUUUAUGAAUUAAAUCCAAAAAUUGCAUUAGCACCAGUCAGAUGCCCGACUUUGCAUAUAACUGUGGUCAGCUUUUUAUGUAAGAGUAGCAUUCCUUUGUAUGCUUAACAAAAGCGGUAAUCGUGAAAGGCGGAUGAUAAAAAAAAACCUACCUCGAGAAUACCUUCAGCGACUUCAACUUCAAGUUGACUAUCAGGGCAGAAGUCCCUGACAAGCCCCUGCUCAGCACACCACCUCCGCACAUUCCUCUCGGAAAACCCCCGUGUAGUUCCAAACUGGGUGCAUAACGCAGUGGCGAUAUCCCCACAGGACAUUCCAUUAUUUCGGUGUUCUGAAAUAAAACCUGCAUAUUCGUGCAAUGCCAUUUUGAGGUGCGUCUCAAGGAUGUCUGGCUCCAAAUUAAAUACACCGCCAACUACUGAUAGCUUGGCUCCAAAUUAAAUACACCGCGCGCCAACUACUGAUAGCUUCCGGGUCACAACACAAAAAUAUUCGCAAAAUUGAGAAAGAAGAUUUCCACGCAGUAUUUUAAUUCCCGAUGUCCAUGUUUAAGCACAUCAAAGAAAAUCAGAUAACUGAUCGUUUUACCGUUUUCCGUUUUCUAUUAUCAAAACAAAAUUCGGAAAAUGGGUCAUUUUCGGAUUUUUGUUUUCCUAUCUCUAUAUGGUAAUCGGGAAACAGCUCGUUUCCCGAUUUUGGUUUUCUCAUUUCAAAACGAAAAUCCAUUGGCCGCAAAGUACACGGACCUCUAAGGCUCAGGGUUAGCCUCUCCAUGCAUUGUCAAUGGGGGGAAAUCUAUUUGGGGGAAAAUUACGUCGGGCUCAGUGCAGACUGACUCAGGGGGCUCUAAAACACUCUCAAAUUUUUACCUAUCUUUCUACCUAUCUCCCUUCUACUUUUAAUAACCUAAACAAACGUCAAUUGAUUUGGAUCGGUUUUAAGUUAUUUUCUCGGCCUAGGAAGGGGCUAGAAACAUAAUUCCUGCAGAUUCAGGAUCGGACCGAGCCCAGCUACUCACCCAUAUUCGUUGGGCGCGAUUGCGCCAACUAGUGGUUGAGAAAUAAUUAAUUGCUGACAUUUCCUAACCCUAUUCAUUUGGAUCGGUUGUAAGUUAUUUUCUCGGCCUAGGAAGGGGCUAGAAACAUAAUUCCUGCAGAUUCAGGAUCGGACCGAGUCCAGCUACUCACCCAUAAUCGCUGGACGCGAUUGCGCCAACUAGUGGUGGAAAAAAAUUAAUUGAUGACAUUUCCUAACCCUAACCCUAUUUAUUUGGAUUGGUUUUAAGUAAUUUUCUCGGCCUAGGAAGGGGCUAGAAACAUAAUUCCUGCAGAUUCAGGGUCGGACCGAGCCCAGCUACUCACCCAUAAUCGUCGGGCGCGAUAGCGCCAACUAGCGGUGGAAAAAAAAUCACCACAGACCACCACCAAACGACUCAAAAUGCCCUAAAACGUGCUCCUAGACACUUUCUGUGGGAACUUUUUUUCACUCCACACAA